CUGACUUCAGCGUGAGCGUGCACAUCGGUUGCGCGUCCGUGUAUCUGUUCCCGUGUCCGCGAGCGCGAGGCUGAGUGAUUCAGUGCUGCUUUCGGUUUUUUUAACACGCACAGCGGUUCGGUCCUUGGCACCGCCAUCACCGAGACUUCACAGCAAAAAUGUCCAAAUUGGAGCAGAUCCUUAUUCUUGAUCCACCGCACGACCUCAGAUUUAAAGGACCUUUCACAGAUGUAGUCACCACAAACCUCAAGCUGAAGAACCCCUCCGACAGAAAAGUAUGUUUCAAAGUGAAGACGACGGCGCCUCGCCGGUACUGCGUACGGCCAAACAGCGGCAUCAUCGACGCCGGCGCCGCCGUCACCGUGUCCGUCAUGCUACAGCCAUUUGACUAUGACCCCAAUGAGAAAAGUAAACACAAAUUCAUGGUACAGACGACUUUCGUACCUCCGAAUGUUUCAGACAUGGAAUUAGUGUGGAAAGAUGCGAAACCCGAUGAGCUCAUGGAUUCCAAGCUGCGAUGUGUCUUCGAACUGCCUACUGAAAACGAUAAAGUGCUUCUCUCCCUCGGGUUCGCCACCCCAUUGCAAAUGGGCAAAUUAAAUGACCCCGGCUCGGUGGGCGGAGCCCAUCUCCCACCCAGGCCGCCUCCCACCCCCAGCGAGUUCCACACUCCCUUUGGCACCCAGAGCCUGUACACCCCCGGCAGCAUUGGCAGUAGGAUCAUCCCGCUGCAGCUAGGAGGCCUGUGUUUCCCAGGCUUAGCCAGAAAGGUUUGUGACAGGCAGGCAAGCUCAGGUGUAGAACUGGAGGGUAGGUUUGUCAGUGCUUUCUGCCUUUGAGAGCCCUCUGCUUCAGCCAAUGAUUGUGUGAGGAUUCACAGUUCUCAUAUAUUCAUACUGUGGGUGCUAAUUGAUAAUUAGUUUAACAAUAAUAAUUGACUGGAUUCAAGUUUGCCUAAACAUUCAGACAUAAUGUGUUUGAAUGUAUGUUUCGUAAGUGUCAUAUUUAUUGCUGCUUUAAAGCACUUUUCACUAAAGUCAGUAUGUGAACUAUUCCCCAGACAGUAUUAGCUGUAGCAUAACUGUUACUAUAUGGUGAACACCCAUUUUUAUCAGUCGGCAAGUCACUGCAUUGAUUGAUCUACUUUGCAGUGUAAAAAAAAAGAUGUCUUGCUCCUGAAAAUUCUUCCCUAACUGAAUAAAAACAAAAAACAACUUUUGCUUUCUAUAAAUAUAUAAUGUAUUCGACUACUGUGAUGUAAUCAUUAAUUUUGAAAGGUGUUUCCAUUCCAGUGUUAGCAUCAUGUUGUGGUUAGUAAUGUUGUGCACCACACCCCAGGAGCAGCAUGGCAUUGAUUUUUAAAUAGCCUAGCUGUCAUUUAAAUAUGGGAACUUAAUAUGACAAACUAUUUGCUACUAUUGUAGUGGAUAUUUGUCAGCUCUUGGUUUAAAAACAAAACAAACGCUGUACAGCAGGGGUGCCCUGUCUUAUCCGAAAAAGGCCAAUCUGGGCGCAGGUUUUAGAUUCUUCUUAUUUGGAGACUUUGGUUAGUUAAUUAGUUGAACGGGGUGUCUGUGCCGGGCUAAAACAAAAACCUGCACCCACACACUGGCUCUUCUCGGAUAAGAUUGGAUACCCCCGCUCUUUUCAGGGGCAGUUUGUAGUAGGUGAGUCAUCCUCCAUUUCCUUUUGCUCUCAAAACGGAUUGUGGUAGUAGUGACUGGGAUGUGAGCAACAAAUCGUGGCAGGCAAUCAAUUGAGCAUCAUUGUAGCCCAUCAGAACUGCAGGCAGCCAAUGUUAUCUUGCCUCUUGCACACAAUUUCAGAUUCAUUGUGCUAAUAUAUUCCAUUAUCCUCCUUAAAGGAGUUUUAACCGCCCUUUAUUUGCUUGGCUUAUUCCACGGCUUUGCAUGUAUUCAAAUGCAUGAAGGGCCAGUGGAACAUAAGAAGCAUCUGUCAGGCUGAUUCAUGGAAGUGCUGAGUCAGAUUGAUGGUAAAAAAAAAUGUAGUCUGUUCAGAGAGCCCUGAUAUUUAAGGCAAGCUGACCCAGUGUGAGCUGAUUCUACCACAGUCCAUCCUGCCAGCUUGCUCUGUUGGAGCCAUUUUGCUCUGUUGGAGUCUUCAAGUUCAGUCCUCCGGUUCUCCACAUUAUCUCUACAUUUCCACAUCUCUGCAGAACCUGAAUGGAUUUCUCAGUCCCGCCACCAUCGGAGUCAUGUCUGCAAACUGCUACUAAUUCACUGUGGUCACUAAAGAUGCCAUGGCAUUACUGAAGGAGAACAAGAUACGGUCAAAUUCCCACACUGUUUCUCCAACAUCUGGCCACCCAGUCAUACCCCUUAUAUAUUUUUUGAUAGUUGGCUACACAAUUCGUUGCAACACAAGUCAUCACUGUCAGUGAAAAAAUUUACUUUCUGCGGAACGCUUUGCUUGAAUAAAGGCUAAUGAUAAGAAGCAUUACAUUGAAAGCACGAACGUUUUGACUGGGGCCUAAAAACCUAAUGGUUUGGUUUAAUGUAAUGUUAAGUGAAUUGUGGCCAAGAUUUUCACUCAUAUUCAAGAAAUAUAAGUUAAGAAAUCCUUAUAAAUUCCAAGGUUAUUGCCAUAAAAAACCAUAUUAAAUUAUGUGUUAUAAUCUUUUACAUAUGGUUCCAUGUUUGUCUUGACUUAUACAAUAAAAAAGUAAUAAUGACCA